UCCAGACUCCUACGGGAGGCAGCAGUGAGGAAUAUUGGUCAAUGGGCGGGAGCCUGAACCAGCCAAGUCGCGUGAGGGACGACGGUCCUAUGGAUUGUAAACCUCUUUUGUCGGGGAACAAAGGCGCCCACGGGUGGGCGGAUGAGUGUACCCGAAGAAAAAGCAUCGGCUAACUCCGUGCCAGCAGCCGCGGUAAUACGUAGGGAGCAAGCGUUAUCCGGAUUUAUUGGGUGUAAAGGGUGCGUAGACGGGAAAACAAGUUAGUUGUGAAAUCCCUCGGCUUAACUGAGGAACUGCAACUAAAACUAUUUUUCUUGAGUGUUGGAGAGGAAAGUGGAAUUCCUAGUGUAGCGGUGAAAUGCGUAGAUAUUAGGAGGAACACCAGUGGCGAAGGCGACUUUCUGGACAAUAACUGACGUUGAGGCACGAAAGUGUGGGGAGCAAACAGGAUUAGAUACCCUCGUACU
rnacentral:rRNA from 1 species